rnacentral:tRNA from 1 species
GGCGGGGUGGCUCAGGGGAAAGAGCCCGGGCUCGAGAGACAGAGGUCACGGGUUCUAAUCCCGGCUCCGCCA